rnacentral:rRNA from 1 species
UUAUUCCUACGGGGCGCAGCAGUGGGGAAUAUUGCACAAUGGGGGAAACCCUGAUGCAGCGACGCCGCGUGAGUGAAGAAGUAUCUCGGUACGUAAAGCUCUAUCAGCAGGGAAGAAAAAAAGUCUUUGGCUUUGGACGGUACCUGACUAAGAAGCCCCGGCUAACUACGUGCCAGCAGCCGCGGUAAUACGUAGGGGGCAAGCGUUAUCCGGAUUCACUGGGCGUAAAGGGAGCGCAGGCGGCACGGCAAGCCUGGUGUGAAAACCCGGGGCCCAACCCCGGGAGUGCAUUGGGAACUGCCGCG